rnacentral:rRNA from 2 species
CCACCACUAAGCCAGUGGUGAACUCCACAUACGCAUCCUUUGCUGAGGAUACGGUUAACGGAGCGAAAGCGACGUUCAACCGCAAAAGAAGCAGAGGGGGCUUAGUGGUGGGGUGACUGCGUACCUUUUGUAUAAUGGGUCAGCGACUUAUAUUCUGUAGCAAGGUUAACCGAAUAGGGGAGCCGGAGGGAAACCGAGUCUUAAUUGGGCGUUAAGUUGCAGGGUAUAGACCCGAAACCCGGUGAUCUAGCCAUGGGCAGGUUGAAGGUUGGGUAACACUAACUGGAGGACCGAACCGACUAAUGUUGAAAAAUUAGCGGAUGACCUGUGGCUGGGGGUGAAAGGCCAAUCAAACCGGGAGAUAGCUGGUUCUCCCCGAAAGCUAUUUAGGUAGCGCCUCGUGAAUUCAUCUCCGGGGGUAGAGCACUGUUUCGGCUAGGGGGCCAUCCCGGCUUACCAACCCGAUGCAAACUGCGAAUACCGGAGAAUGUUAUCACGGGAGACACACGGCGGGUGCUAACGUCCGUCGUGAAGAGGGAAACAACCCAGACCGCCAGCUAAGGUCCCAAAGUCAUGGUUAAGUGGGAAACGAUGUGGGAAGGCCCAGACAGCCAGGAUGUUGGCUUAGAAGCAGCCAUCAUUUAAAGAAAGCGUAAUAGCUCACUGGUCGAGUCGGCCUGCGCGGAAGAUGUAACGGGGCUAAACCAUGCACCGAAGCUGCGGCAGCGACGCUGAUGCGUUGUUGGGUAGGGGAGCGUUCUGUAAGCCUGCGAAGGUGACCUGUGAGGG